rnacentral:lncRNA from 1 species
GGCCCUGACACAGAAAGGAGACAGAGAAAGGUGACAGCCAAAUGCACGUGGGAGCUGGGAACAGAGGAGGGCACUGGGAGGGGCCUGCCUGCCGUCCAGCUCUCGAGACCACGGCGAGAUUCAGAAGGGAAUUGGGCCAUUCCUUCUCCAAAGCAGAACGUACUGCAGCUGUGAGAGUUCUAGGAGAAAAUUCAGCUGGCUUUUUCCUUUAAAUACUGAAGCCCUCGAAAUCAUCUUUGGAGAAAGGCACAGACCUGUCUCCCAAGACGUGUCCUUAAUCUUGGCAAAGUAAACUUCUAAGUUGAUCGAGGCUUGUCUCAGAUAUUUUCAGGUUUACAGAAAGAAAUUCAAUUUCAGUCACAAACGGAAUGAUAAAAUAAGUUGUUACGCAUCCAUAGAAAGAAGAUAUUAACAUGAUGAACUUUCAAAUCAGCUUCUCAAGUGUCAACAUCCUGUUGCGAUUUUCAUUGAUAUUGAACUGAAUUUAUAGAUUUUGUAAGCAGAAAAAAAUUAUUUU